GUGCUCACAUAGCAGCAUAAAUACUAAAAUCGGAUGAUCCAGAGCUUAGCAUGGCUUCUGCACAAGAAUGACAUGCUAAGUGGUGAAGCAUUCCAUAUGUUU
ensembl:snRNA U6 U6 spliceosomal RNA